AUUGAACGCUAGCGGGAUGCCUUACACAUGCAAGUCGAACGGCAGCGCGGACUUCGGUCUGGCGGCGAGUGGCGAACGGGUGAGUAACGUAUCGGAACGUGCCCAGUAGCGGGGGAUAACUACUCGAAAGAGUAGCUAAUACCGCAUACGACCUACGGGGGAACGGGGGGGAUCGCAAGACCUCUGACUAUUGGAGGGGCCGAUAUCGGAUUAGCUAGUUGGUGAGGUAAAGGCUCACCAAGGCGACGAUCCAUAGCUGGUUUGAGAGGACGACCAGCCACACUGGGACUGAGACACGGCCCAGACUCCUACGGGAGGCAGCAGUGGGGAAUUUUGGACAAUGGGGGCAACCCUGAUCCAGCCAUUCCGCGUGUGCGAUGAAGGCCUUCGGGUUGUAAAGCACUUUUGGCAAGAAAGAAAUCGCACGGAUUAAUACUCUGUGUGGAUGACGGUACCUGCAGAAUAAGCACCGGCUAACUACGUGCCAGCCGCCGCGGUAA
rnacentral:rRNA from 1 species